UCGGACGCUCGGCUAAACCCGGAAGACUUGGUAGAAGGAAACUGUCAUGGAUGCAGAAUACCAGGAAUUGGACAGGUUUAAACUUUGAAGACUUUAUCAGAGCUGCGGACGUGAUCACUAACCUACGAUAGCGGAAAUGGCACAAAUAGAAGAAGAUUGCCGAGAAUUCUAAUAAUAAGAGAGUGUCAAAAUAAUAAUUAAAUAUAUUAUGAAAACAAGAUGCAGUUAAGAUAAUUUAAAGUGAAGCACCUGUUUUAAAAUUUUUUAUUUUAAAACACCAUAAGGUCUUCGAAAAAUAUUCGUUAACCAGCUGUCGUUGAACCAUAAGCCUUUUUUCUUACCUAUCAAGUUACGAGAUUCAUCCGUAGUUUUUUGGCUUCACUUUACCUACUAUGCUAUUUAAAGUCGUUUUUUAAAGCGUUUUUCUCCUCCAGCACGAGACAAAAACCACAACAUGUUGUAAUAUAAGAACGGCCAAAGAGCGUGAAUAAAACGUUUACGCAAUUAAUUAAUAAACACAAAGCGUGUUAUAGACUCUGGCAGGAAGUGAUUCUUGGAAAGAAGAAAACCCAUUAAGAUAACGAUUAAAACAACGAGACCCUUCUUCUCUUUACAAGUAUUUUUAUUUCUUUUUUAUUUUUUUCGUUUUUAAUGUGGUCUAAAAGUCUUUUGAGUUGGACGUUAUCUUGAGAUAACGAAAUUCCGGGCGGGAAUUUUGUUUUAAAGUUUCUUUAUGUUUUAAAAGGUUCACAAACCAAGUUGAGCUUCGUAACCUUUCCUUUUUGACCUUUUCAUGAAGAUGCAUCUGAAAACGUGCUUCUAAGAGAUCUUUACCUUUCUCUUUUCCCGGUUCGGAGUCAUCCAAACAAUCUUUUUUUUUAUAAACUAGUCUCGUGAAUCACGAUUUUCUAAAACUAAACAAAAAUAAAUCUUAUUUUCUUUUUUAAUCGCUUCAUUUAAUUAUCUUUGGUGAAUGGAAAUUGCAUGAUUAUCGUUUAUUGGGGCCAAAUAGAAGUGAUUAAUUUCAUUUCCCUAUUUUUUGUUUGAAUUGCGAUGAGGUUUUAAAUAAAACAAGGUUUAUUUACACAAAAAAGGUUCUUGUUUAAAGAUCCCACGACCUUUAAAUCAUUAUUCUCAAUUAAAUCUUAUGUAACUGUAAACAUUCAUAAUGAAAAUAUAAACAAAUUAAAAAAAUUGAUUUAGAAAUUGUAAUGGAAAAGAAAAUAGAGAAGUGAAAGCUUUUUUCGCUUAUUUAGAAAGUUCUCUUUGUUUUUCUUACCUUAAAAUAAAGAAAAAGAAAAUUAAAAUAUUUUUAGGUUAUUUGUUUUAUUUGACAGAUUGAUUUUUGACUGAAUUAAUACCAACCAUUAAGAAUUAAAAAAAAUUAAGUUGGCAGUUUUUAAUUUAACUUAAACCGGUUUCCACGACAACAACAAAAUCUUUAACGUUUUUUAGUUGAAAAGAAGCGAAUUUAACACCCGAUCAAAGCGAAUCGUCUCAAGAAUGUGAUCUCUAUGCGCUAAAAAAUACGACUUUCACACGGUGCGGCGGUGAUGUACCGCAAAAGAAGCGAUCUCGAGAUGAAUCUCCGCGCUGAAGCUUUCUAAAGAAGACUUCUUCGGCGACCUCAAUUUCUUGUUUUGCGCGGUUAAAAAUCUCAACGCUGAACAAGAUGUAUUGCUGACUGAGAAGUGUAUACUUUACCGCGAAGAAGGAUUUAAAGGAUGGAAUCGACUUUGGUUUUAAAGUAUGUGCAAAAAAACU
rnacentral:lncRNA from 1 species